UUGAAAUUCGCUCUUAUCUUAUCUUGAACCUCUGAAAACUUACCUUCGUCUCCACUCCGCCGCCAGUACGACCUAGGCACCUCGUGCGCCGGCCAACCCAAAGGUCGAAUCCACCGCUGACGCCUGCCGUCGCUCCACGCGCGUCGCCGCCAGUCACGCCGGCCUAUCUCAUCGCGUACCUCUGCUUUCUGCACCUCCGCAAUCUUAAUUUGGGGAUCUAAGGAGGGAGAAGGAGGGAGAAGCAGGGAGCAGGAGAUAGUAUUGGAUGGAGGAUUAAAUUUGGGGAUUACAGCAUGCUUUCCUUGAGAUAUGGAACGCCUGCAUUUGGUCUAGUGUUGGAGAGAGCCGCCGAGGUGCAUUUUCGAAAGUUCAACUCUGUAGUGGUGUGUGGUGCCAGGGGUCCGAGACCAAGGUAUCCUCGAGUGUGGAAAACAGAUAAGAGGAUCGGAACCGUUUCCAAGUCGCAGAAGCUUGUCAAAUGUAUUAAAGAUUUGUCUAAUGUAAAGGAGGAAGUUUAUGGUGCUCUUGAUUCAUUUGUUGCAUGGGAACUGGAGUUUCCCUUGAUAGCGGUAAAGAAGGCAUUGCAUACGCUUGAGGAGGAAAAGGAAUGGAAAAGAAUAAUUCAGGUUAUCAAGUGGAUGUUCAAUAAAGGUCAAGGGAAGACCAUGGGAAGCUAUCAGACUUUAUUAACUGCUUUAAUUGAGGAUGGACGAGUUGAGGAAGCAGAAGAGCUAUUUGGAAAGAUAUUCUCGAGAUAUAUGGAGGGUUUGCCCCGUAUAUUUUUCAUGAAGAUGAUCUCCUUGUACUAUAGUUUGGGGUCAUACCAGAAGAUGUUUGAGGUUUUUGCUGAUAUGGAAGAGCUGGGUGUUCGACCUGAUCGUUCAAUUGUCAGGAUGCUCAGUGUAGUAUUUAAGAAGCUAGAUAUGCUGGAUAAAUACGAAAAGUUAAAUAGGAAAUAUCCACCUCCAAAAUUUGAAUACCGAUACAUCAAAGGCAAACGCAUAAGGAUAGCUGUUUACCCAGAUGAUAAUAUUGAAGAGAUAACACAGAGAAACUCUGGCACAGAUGAACUGGAAGAGGCAGAAGGCAUAGACAGUGACAAUGAAUUUGAAGAAGAGGCAAGCACAGGCCUGGACCAAAAUGUAUUAGGUGAUGCAGCUUCUGGAGACCUUGAAGUUGUAUAGCUCAGAGCUUCAGUUUGGUGUUUUCGUGCCUGGUUCAUCAGAGCUGUUGUGCCGCAACUUGUUCUAUAAUGUUGCAGUUUAGUCCAGUGUUGCCAUAAUUGGAAAUGGACAAAACAAAUGGCAGACUGCAGAUGUUCUUCUGAUAUUAUAGAUACAGUUGAUACAGCAAGAUGUGUUGUUAAGGGAGAGAAGCGCAUUUUGAUACACAGCAAGGCUUCACCAUGUGAUGCUACAGACAUCAGUGUUCGAUCUUCCUGAAUUUUGUUAUCGAACUGUAUGGGUUUAUAUCCUUACUCUGUGAAUCCAUGCGAUGAUGUCCCUUCAAACAUUCAUGGAUGUGGCCUUAAUGUUCAGCUAUUUCAGGCCAGGGUGAAGGCAGUUUGUUCUCUAACGCUGAAAUGUAUAUUGGUAUUAGUCGUAGGACUAGACAUGCAGUAGUAUCUCCCCUUGAAAUGAAAUGGCUGUAGAUGAAUUUUCUGCA